UACGGGGGGGGCAAGCGUUGUUCGGAAUUACUGGGCGUAAAGGGCGCGUAGGCGGUUCGCUAAGUUGAAUGUGAAAACUCUGGGCCUAACCCAGAGCCUGCAUUCAAUACUGGCGGGCUAGAGUUCUGGAGGGGAUAGCGGAAUUCCUGGUGUAGCGGUGAAAUGCGCAGAUAUCAGGAGGAACACCAGCGGCGAAGGCGGCGCUCUGGGCUGGAACUGACGCUGAGGAGCGAAAGCGUGGGGAGCGAACAGG
rnacentral:rRNA from 1 species